rfam:Cricetulus griseus cell line CHO-K1, whole genome shotgun sequence.
GCUGGGCUAGCUCAGUUGGUAAAGCAUGAGACUCUCAAUCUCAGGUUCAUGGGUUCAAACCCCAUGUUGGGUG